CCUACGGGGGGCAGCAGUGAGGAAUAUUGGUCAAUGGACGAAAGUCUGAACCAGCCAUGCCGCGUGCAGGAAGACGGCUCUAUGAGUUGUAAACUGCUUUUGUACAAGGGUAAACCUGAAUACGUGUAUUCAGCUGAAAGUACUGUACGAAUAAGGAUCGGCUAACUCCGUGCCAGCAGCCGCCGUAAUACGGAGGAUCCAAGCGUUAUCCGGAUUUAUUGGGGUUAAAGGGUGCGUAGGCGGAUUGAUAAGUUAGAGGUGAAAUGUGCGGGCUCAACUCGGGAUCUGCCGCUAAUACUGUUGAUCUAGAGAGUAGAUGCGGUAGGCGGAAUGUAUGGUGUAGCGGUGAAAUGCUUAGAGAUCAUACAGAACACCGAUUGCGAAGGCAGCUUACCAAUCUAUAUCUGACGUUGAGGCACGAAAGCGUGGGGAGCGAACAGGAUUAGAUACCCGAGUAGUC
rnacentral:rRNA from 1 species